GACGAACGCUGGCGGCGUGCCUAAUACAUGCAAGUCGAACGGUCUUUUCUAUGGAAGCUUGCUUCCACUGAGAAGAUAGUGGCGAACGGGUGAGUAACACGUGGGUAACCUGCCCAUAAGAGGGGGAUAACAUCCGGAAACGGGUGCUAAUACCGCAUAGUUUUCUUGAUCGCAUGAUCGGGAACGGAAAGACGGCCUUUGUGCUGUCGCUUAGGGAUGGGCCCGGGGCGUAUUAGUUAGUUGGUGAGGUAACGGCUCACCAAGACGAUGAUACGUAGCCGACCUGAGAGGGUGAUCGGCCACAUUGGGACUGAGACACGGCCCAAACUCCUACGGGAGACAGCAGUAGGGAAUCUUCCGCAAUGGACGAAAGUCUGACGGAGCAACGCCGCGUGAGUGAAGAAGGUUUUCGGAUCGUAAAACUCUGUUGUCAGAGAAGAACAAGUUGGAGAGUAACUGCUCCAGCCUUGACGGUAUCUGACCAGAAAGCCACGGCUAACUACGUGCCAGCAGCCGCCGCAGUAA
rnacentral:rRNA from 1 species